rnacentral:ncRNA from 1 species
AAAAAGUUUUAUUCUUGCUUGAUUAUUUACUUAUUCUUUGUGUUAUAUGUAAGUUUUGUUAUACUAAAUGUUCUUUUUGCAGUAAUUUGAUUUAAUUAUCAAGUGAUUUUGGAAUUAGCGAUUGCUUUAGUAUCGGCCUAAUUCGUGCCAGCAGCCGCGGUUAUACGAUUGAUACAAGUGAAUAUUAUUGGUUGAAGCAGUUAUUUAUAUUUUUGAGUUUAAUUAUUAAUUUGUAAGGUGAAAUUUGAAAUUAUUUAUGGAUUCUUUUUAUGAACCUGUGAAACUUAAACUAUAAACUAGGAUUAGAUACCCUAUUAUUUUAAGUGUAAAUUCCAUUUGCCAGGGUACUGUUAGUUAAGGUCUUUAAACCCAAAGAAUUUGGCGGUAUCUUAUUCCAUUCAGAGGAACCUACCCCUUAAUUGAUAGUACACGAUUGACUUUACUUAAUUUAUUUGUUUGUAUAUCUCCGUUAUCAGAGGAUCUUUUUAGAGUUUUAAUUUUCAUAAUUUAAAAUUAUAAAGUAUUUCAGGUCAAGGUGCAGCUUAUAAUUAAGUGGAGGUGGGUUACAAUAGAUUUUUGUUUAUAACGGAUUAGGUGGUGAAAUACUACUAAUAAAGGUGGAUUUGAUAGUAAUUUAAUUUAGUUAAUUUAAUUGAUAUUGGCUCUGAGGUGUGUACACAUCGCCCGUCGCUCUCAUUAUUGAUAGUUAAUUAUAUUUAAGAAAUAUUAAUUUUGAUUUAGAUGAGAUAAGUCGUAACAUAGUAGAUGUACUGGAAAGUGUAUCUAGUAAGAUUA